CCUACGGGAGGCUGCAGUGGGGAAUAUUGGACAAUGGGCGAAAGCCUGAUCCAGCCAUGCCGCGUGUGUGAAGAAGGCCUUCGGGUUGUAAAGCACUUUCAGUGGGGAAGAAAGCCUUGGGGCUAAUACCCUCGAGGAAGGACAUCACCCACAGAAGAAGCACCGGCUAACUCCGUGCCAGCAGCCGCGGUAAUACGGAGGGUGCGAGCGUGAAUCGGAAUUACUGGGCGUAAAGCGCGCGUAGGCGGUCUGAUAAGCCGGUUGUGAAAGCCCCGGGCUCAACCUGGGAACGGCAUCCGGAACUGUCAGGCUAGAGUGCAGGAGAGGAAGGUAGAAUUCCCGGUGUAGCGGUGAAAUGCGUAGAGAUCGGGAGGAAUACCAGUGGCGAAGGCGGCCUUCUGGACUGACACUGACGCUGAGGUGCGAAAGCGUGGGUAGCAAACAGGAUUAGAUACCCCUGUAGUC
rnacentral:rRNA from 1 species